GUGAUCAUCUGGGAGCAUGUGAGGGUGUGUGUGGCUAUUUGAGGCCCAAGAAUGAGGAAAAUACUACCAUAAGAAAGCAAUAACAGUUUAAGUGGUAUGCAGUCUAUAGGAAAAGUAAAUAUAUUGUGUUGAAUUGAAUUGAUUCCCCUGUCUCUGGAGGGUGUUCAACAGCAGGCAGAAUCAAAGAACAACCAGUGUUGACAUGGAGAAAGGCCCUAAUAUGGUGAGACUAGGAAAGAGAGCCACAUCAAUUGAGAUGGGGACAGAAGCAUAUUCAUAAAGCCUGGAGUAUGGAGCUGCUGUCCAGGGUUGUGAGGGUAUGGUAGAUUGAGCUCAUAUUGAGAAUCUUUUUCUGCAACAGGAAUGGGUUAUGACCCAUUUGGUGCAGCUCAGGCUUUAGUUUAUUGGUGCCAGGUGUGUGGCUGGCUAUAUAUGUCAGUCUCUCUGAGCAUCUUAUUAAGAACAAAACUACCCCCUCCAUGCUGGGCUUAGCUGAUGAAUGUAUGCCAUGCUCUUUUAGUAAAGCUGUGAA